AUACGGAGGGUGCAAGCGUUACUCGGAAUCACUGGGCGUCAUGCGCGCGCAGGCGGCUUGAUAAGUCGGAUGUGAACGCCUACGGCUCAACCGUAGAACUGCAUCCAAAACUGUCAAGCUAGAGUCUGGGAGGGGAAGAUGGAAUUAGUUGUGUAGGGGUAAAAUCCGUAGAGAUAACUAGGAAUACCAAAAGCGAAGGCGAUCUUCUGGAACAGUACUGACGCUGAGGCGCGAAAGCGUGGGGAGCAAACAGGAUUAGAAACCCUAGUAGUCC
rnacentral:rRNA from 1 species